AUUGAACGCUGGCGGCAGGCCUAACACAUGCAAGUCGAGCGGUAGCACAGGGGAGCUUGCUCCCUGGGUGACGAGCGGCGGACGGGUGAGUAAUGUCUGGGAAACUGCCUGAUGGAGGGGGAUAACUACUGGAAACGGUAGCUAAUACCGCAUAACGUCUUCGGACCAAAGAGGGGGACCUUCGGGCCUCUUGCCAUCGGAUGUGCCCAGAUGGGAUUAGCUAGUAGGUGGGGUAAAGGCUCACCUAGGCGACGAUCCCUAGCUGGUCUGAGAGGAUGACCAGCCACACUGGAACUGAGACACGGUCCAGACUCCUACGGGAGGCAGCAGUGGGGAAUAUUGCACAAUGGGCGCAAGCCUGAUGCAGCCAUGCCGCGUGUGUGAAGAAGGCCUUCGGGUUGUAAAGCACUUUCAGCGGGGAGGAAGGGUGCAGGCUUAAUACGUCUGUUCAUUGACGUUACCCGCAGAAGAAGCACCGGCUAACUCCGUGCCAGCAGCCGCCGUAAGAC
rnacentral:rRNA from 1 species